UGCAGUCGAGCGAACUGAUUAGAAGCUUGCUUCUAUGACGUUAGCGGCGGACGGGUGAGUAACACGUGGGCAACCUGCCUGUAAGACUGGGAUAACUUCGGGAAACCGAAGCUAAUACCGGAUAGGAUCUUCUCCUUCAUGGGAGAUGAUUGAAAGAUGGUUUCGGCUAUCACUUACAGAUGGGCCCGCGGUGCAUUAGCUAGUUGGUGAGGUAACGGCUCACCAAGGCCACGAUGCAUAGCCGACCUGAGAGGGUGAUCGGCCACACUGGGACUGAGACACGGCCCAGACUCCUACGGGAGGCAGCAGUAGGGAAUCUUCCGCAAUGGACGAAAGUCUGACGGAGCAACGCCGCGUGAGUGAUGAAGGCUUUCGGGUCGUAAAACUCUGUUGUUAGGGAAGAACAAGUACAAGAGUAACUGCUUGUACCUUGACGGUACCUAACCAGAAAGCCACGGCUAACUACGUGCCAGCAGCCGCGGUAAUACGUAGGUGGCAAGCGUUAUCCGGAAUUAUUGGGCGUAAAGCGCGCGCAGGCGGUUUCUUAAGUCUGAUGUGAAAGCCCACGGCUCAACCGUGGAGGGUCAUUGGAAACUGGGGAACUUGAGUGCAGAAGAGAAAAGCGGAAUUCCACGUGUAGCGGUGAAAUGCGUAGAGAUGU
rnacentral:rRNA from 1 species